rnacentral:rRNA from 1 species
UUACUUUCUAGUAGCAAAGCUAACGCGUUAAGUUCUCCGCCUGGGGAGUACGGCCGCAAGGUUAAAACUCAAAGAAAUUGACGGGGGCCCGCACAAGCGGUGGAGCAUGUGGUUUAAUUCGAUGCAACGCGAAAAACCUUACCUACCCUUGACAUCCUCGGAACUUGUCAGAAAUGACUUGGUGCCUUUAGGAACCGAGUGACAGGUGCUGCAUGGCUGUCGUCAGCUCGUGUCGUGAGAUGUUGGGUUAAGUCCCGUAACGAGCGCAACCCUCGUCCUUAGUUGCCAGCGGUUCGGCCGGGAACUCUAAGGAGACUGCCGGUGAUAAACCGGAGGAAGGUGAGGAUGAUGUCAAGUCAUCAUGGCCCUUACGGGUAGGGCUACACACGUGCUACAAUGGGCAGUACAAAGGGUUGCUAAACCGUGAGGUAAAGCUAAUCCCAAAAAGCUGCUCGUAGUCCGGAUUGGAGUCUGCAACUCGACUCCAUGAAGCUGGAAUCGCUAGUAAUCGCGAAUCAGAAUGUCGCGGUGAAUACGUUCUCGGGCCUUGUACACACCGCCCGUCACACCAUGGGAGU